rnacentral:siRNA from 1 species
UGAAGUCAAAAACGUUGUCGGCGC